rnacentral:rRNA from 1 species
UACAGAGGUGGCAAGCGUUGUUCGGAAUUACUGGGCGUAAAGGGCGCGUAGGCGGCCUUCUAAGUCAGGGGUGAAAUCCUGGAGCUCAACUCCAGAACUGCCUUUGAUACUGGGAAGCUCGAGUCCGGAAGAGGUGAGUGGAACUCCGAGUGUAGAGGUGAAAUUCGUAGAUAUUCGGAAGAACACCAGUGGCGAAGGCGGCUCACUGGUCCGGUACUGACGCUGAGGUGCGAAAGCGUGGGGAGCAAACAGG